rnacentral:lncRNA from 10 species
GUAGUGACAUAAUUACACGAUAAGACAAGCCGCCUGGUCUCGCUGUCACUUGGCAGGCAAGAGAGGUUCGUGCUUUCACGCACCUGUAAUUCAAAUACUGAUGAAAACAAAACUAUUGCCCUCCUACCAAAUGGGAAAUUAAUGUUAUGACUGGAUAAGACAAUUGUGAAGAAACUGCACUUCGAGGUUGUCUGUCUCCGUAUUCCGAUGGAAAAGGCUGGACUUUAGAAGCAUUGCUCGCUCCUUCAGUUUCUAACAAGAGUUUUACAGUUUCUGAUUAAAUACCAAUGGGAUAUCACCUCCCAUCUCUUAGGAUGGCUGUUAUAAAAAGGACAAGAGAUAACAAGUGUUGGUGAUGGUGUGGAGAGAAGGGAACCUUUGUACACUGCUGGUUAAAAUGUAAGUUAGUACAGCCAUUAUGGAAAACAGUAUGAAAGUUCCUGAGAAUCUAAAAAUAGAACUACCAUAUGGCUCAGCAAUCCCUCCUAUGAAUUAUAUAUCAACAGGAAAUGAAAUCAGCAUCUGAUAGAGAUAUCUUCACUCCCCUCUUCUCCGUGCCCCACCACAGCAUUGCUCCCAACAGCCAAGCCAUGGGAUGAAGUUACUGUGCAUUGAUGGAUGAGUGGAGAAAAGAAAAUGUGGGGGAGGUGUUUGUGCAUGUAUGUGUGUGUGUGUAUAAUAUAUAAUAAUAUAAUAUUUUUCAGCUUUUAAGAAGUUGAAGAUACUGCCAUUUGUGAUAACAUAAAUGAAUCUGGAGGAUAUUAAGCUAAGUAAAAUAACUUAGGGAGAGAGAAAAAUACUGCAUAAUUUCUGUUACAUAUGAAAUCUUUAAAAAGGUUUAAUACAUAGAGACAUGAUAGAGUGAUGAUUUGGGGGAUAAGAGACACAAGUCAACGUUUCAGUUAUAUAAAAUAAAUGAAUCUAGAGGACUAAAGUACAAUUUAAAGGUUAUAGUUACUAUUUUUAUAUUAUAUACUAGUGAUUUUUGAACAGGGUAAACUUUAGGUGCUUUGACACCAAAAGGAAACUACAUGAGUUCAUGUAUAUGUUAAAUUGUUUGACCGCAGUCAUCAUUGAUAUGUAUAUGUAUAUAUAUAUAAUUAUGGGCUCAUUAAAUUUAAAUGCUAUAAAUAGGUAACAAAGAAUAAAGUUAAUUGAAAAACUGCAUCAUUAGACUUGAUUUUGCCUACAUGAAAAACUGAAACUGCCUCCUAAAUAUUAAUAUUUGUACAUCGCAUAAAGUUUAUAUGUUGGAAAUAUGUUUAAAGAAAAGGAAUUAUAAAUUUUAAUAAACACAGAAUGACACAGUAAAUGCAAAACAGUAGAAAGAGAUGAAAAUCUGAUUAAUCAGAGUGGUUAAUGCUUAGAUAUAAUUAAUGAUGUGUUAGGAGCAAUUUCAAGCCACUUCCACAUAGAUUUAAUACCAAAGAGUUUAUGUGUACACAGAGAUUAAAUAAAAAAAUACAUUUACAAUGAUAUUAAUUGAUAUUAAAAUGAUUAUGAAAUCAACUGUCUGCUAUAGAAAAAAUAGAGCAUUAAGUAACUAGCAGUAAGUUUGAAACUUUGUUAGAAAGUUAAUCAAGUGAAAAAGUGAUCAGCAUUUUUGAGCACUAAAUAGAGGAUGGACAAAAUUUUCUUUUCUUUCUUUCUUUUUUUUUUUUUUUUGAGAUCGAGUCUGUCUCUGUCGCCCAGGCUGGAGUACAGCGGCGCAAUCUUGAUCUCGGCUCACUGCAAGCUCUGCCUCCCGGGUUCACGCCAUUCUCCUGCAUUAGCCUCCUGAGUACCUGGGACUGCAGGCGCCCACAGCCAUCCCUGGCUAAUUUUUUGUAUUUUUAGUGGAGACGGGGUUUCACCGUGUUAGUCAAGAUGGUCACGAUCUCCUGAGCUCAUGAUCCACCUGCCUCAGCCUCUUAAAGUGCUGGGAUUACAGGCGUGAGCCACCGCACCUGGCCUAUAAUUUUCCAAUACCAAGAAAAUCAUUUGAUAUUGCAAGAUUUUAAACCUAAAUUAGUGUCUUUAACUUCACAAAGGUAGAAAUCCUAUAAGUAAUGUUUCUUGAACACUUUAAAAUGACAAUAAAAACUAAAGUGUAACCAACAAGUAACAUGUAGCCACAUGCAAAUUUCCUUUUAGAUUGUUUUAUUAUUUUUUUAACUUUAUGUGAAUUUUUAUUUUACUAGGUUUUUGGGGAACAGGUGGUGUUUGGUUAGAGGGAUAAGUUUUUAGUGGUGAUCUCUGAGAUGUUGGUGCAGUGUACACUGUACCCAAUGGGUAGCCUUUGAUCCCUAAGAUUGUUUUAAAUGACAUCUAGAUUAAAUAGAACAUUCAAACUGACAUUACUUUUACAGCACCAGAGAAAUGCUAAGGAGGAAGCUUUGUGACUGAAACCAAAAGACCUGAAUUUAUAUAUUUAAUUUUACUAAUUAACAUUCUUAAUUUUAUAGAAAAACAGCAAUUCUGCCCACAUGCAGGAGUUAUGCAUUAAAGUGGAGCAUGAUCACUUCAGACAUUUGUCCAAAACAUAAAAAUUCUUCCAAGUAUUAAGAAAAUAUUUAUACUUCACAGAUAUUGUUAGUGUAUAAUACAUGGGCAUUGAGAUGUUUCAAAUGAGAAAAAUUGAAAUUUCUCAUGGGGCAUUGUUCUACACAAAAUAUUUAUGUAAAAUUUUUUACUCAUAUAUGCAUGUGGACAUUUGAUGUUUUAGCACAGAAUAACAUAUUCUCAAAGGUCAUUUAAUGUAGUAAAUUAAAAAUCUUUAAAGUUUACAAGAAUUUUAAAACUGCCCAGCAGAACUGAUAGAAAAAUAUGGGAGCUUCCCAGGACCAGAAGUGAAUCAAGAGGCAAAUUCACAGGAGUCAUGAAAGUGAGAAGUUAGAGCUGCCUUCAGGUACAGCUCUGAUUGCAGGGCUGAUUACACAGACCUCAAGCCUGUGAAAAUCGUCCACUCUGCCCCUUGGAAUAUACAUACAGAGAAAAUUACUAACUGGGGCAUCCCAAAUGUGAGAUCUCUAUAAUGUAAGAACCAAAUUGCAAUUAUGAAGCACACAAAAGAAGCUACCCAAAAAAGGGAAAGAAAUUAUACAUCACGUAAACUUCACAGAUUGGAAACGUAUUUAAAAUAAGUAACACAAAUAGGGAAAGAGAAUAUCAAAAUAAUUUUGAAAACACAUGAAGUUCUAAAGCGGGCACUGGGGGCAGUGGCUCAUGCCUGUACUCCCAAGCACUUUGCGGUGGCCAAAGCAGGAGGAUCACUUGAGGCCAGGAGUUUGAGAUCAGCCUGGGCAACAAAGCAAAAGUUGUCUCUACAACAAAUAGAUAUAAAAAAAUAAGCCAGGCACAGUGGUGUGUGCUUGUACUGUCAGCUACUGGGGAGGUGGAGGUGAGAGGGUCUUUUGAGACUGGGAAUUUGAGGUUGCAGUGAGCUAUGACCACCACUGAACUCAAGCCUGGGUGACAGAGAUUCUUUCUCAAACACACACACACACACACACACACACACACACACACACACACACACACACUAAACAGGCAUGUUUUGCAAAGACUCAAACAGAAAUUGAACAACUGAAACUUAAAUAAAUUUAAUAUACAGUGUAUGGUUUAAUUAUUAAACCAAGUUAAUAACAACAGGAUUAGUGAACUAGAAUACUGAGAUGAGUAAAUAAAAGAACUACAGAAAAAUGAAAUGAUCACAAUACAAAAAUGAGUAUACAUGUACAAAGAAUAAAAUGAAAUGAAAUCAAAUACAUUGGUUUCACUAGCUUACAUAUAAAUAACAAAUCACAUUAAUAACAAAUAUUUAUAAAUUUCUGAAACUGAAUAUCAGAUGGGAACCCUUGAAUGCAGAAGUGUAUUGUGAUUAAUAGUGGCCUACCAAUAAAAAAUACUCAACAGAAAUAAAAGUCAAACUGCAUAACAGCAAAGAAAAGAAAAAAUUUUAAAGCCAUAAGAGAGAAAAGAAGAGAGAACCAAUGAAGGUGAGAGCAAAGUCUUCACAGCCCGUGUUCAGUCAGAAAACAGAGAAAUAAGUAAGAGUGCUGAGAUAAGUCACUGUUCAACCAAUAAUUAGAUACUUCACUAACAUAUUUUGAAUAAGUGAGGAUGCACUACAUGAUUUCCAAAAGUAAAAAAGUGGGAAAUCUUAUUACCAAUAUGAGCUUAUUAAGAAUACACUUCAAAAAGAAAAAAAAUUUAAAAUGGAGUUCAAGGAAUCAAAAUGAAAUGCAAGAAACUGCAAACAUAUUGGGCUAUCAAAUCAUGGUGGACAAUGAACAAAAGGAUCCAUCAAGUCUUUGGCAGCAUCAGUUUCCAAAUGAUUUACAUAAAAUAAAAGUGCUAAACUCUAUACAAUGUAAUGAAAUAAAUUAUCAAAUCCUCUGAUACUUGAAUAAUUUAACUGAUGUUAGAAUCUCCUUUUCAGAUAAUUAUUUUCAUGGAAAAAAAUAUACAAUACUUCUGUCUCAUCAUUUGCAGAAUAUCAAUUAUCCUUUUUUCAGAACUUAUUAGCACCAAAGGGCUCACAGUGGCAUAGGCCCUGGUCACAAGCCUCUGGACACCCAG